rnacentral:lncRNA from 1 species
AAAAAAGGAAGCAUAAAUUUGAAAUAGAAUAUUGGUAGCGGUAGGUAGGCGAGGAAAACAGGAAGAAAGCAUAUGCUCACCAAACUUGCAAGCGGAGACUGGAAGCCCCACUUCCAAAUUCCAACUACCUCACUCCUAUAUUCCCAUAUCAUUGAACUUUAUGAUCAACUACUCCUAUUUCCNAGUGAAAAUGAACUGUUCGAUAAAAUAUCCCGUCAUGACCGAAGAAAAUUUCUCUUAUUUUCCAUCAAAAUAAACGCACCCUUAGUGGAAGAGAGGAAGUGGUGUGUUACCAUAUCUUUGGAAAGCUGUGUGGAAGAUGGGAUAAACCCUAGGCACGAUGUCGUUGUCGAAGUUGAUGGGUUUGGACUCGGCUCGUUUGGCGAUGAUGCCGAUUUCUUUGAGAUCUCCGGUGAUGAGACGGUAAGGGUUUCCGGCGAAGCCCUGCCGCCGGAGGCGGGUUUCAAGGCUUUUGGGAGUGAACCAUACCCAAUUCAAGAUUUUGCAGACGUAGAGGAAGGAUGCAAGAGCGCAAGAAAUAGUGAGAGAGAAGAUGAAAGCAUCCAUUUUUGGGUUUUGAAUUUGCGGUGGAGUUAAUUAUAUAUAGACGAUGGAGUUGUAACUGAAGCUUUUGUCCUGCACAUGCAUCUCUAUCCCACAUUAAUUUCGAUUAGAAUCUUCUUCUAUUUGGAUUACACAAAUAUUUAAAUUUAUGUGCACAUACACACACACAAAUUAUUACACCUACCAUAUAUGAUAUGAUUGAUACUAGUACUUCAUCGUCCCACUAAAUAUAACUCCUUACUUUUUAAGCACGGUUAUUAAGAAAAAAAAGUAAUUAAAUAAUAAAAGUGAUAAAAUGACGAAGCUCACAAUUUUUUGUGAGAUAAAAAGAUUUUGUUUUUUGGAAUGGACCAUUUGUAAUGGAACAAUCAAAAUGACAAAAAAAUCAUGUUACAUAAGACGGAGGGAGUAUUUAUCGAGAAAAUAAUAUAAAUCUAAAUUAAGAUAGUUACAAUAGGAAAAAUCAAAAAUAGUAAGAAUAGCUAAAACAAGAGUUUGUAACUGAUAUAUAGCUUACUGUGACAUCGAUGAUUAUUAUAAUAAGAAGUUGUAACUGAUAUCCCACAUUUUCACUUUUUUUGCCGAAUUCUCCUCUCGUGCUUUGUCAAUAAUCAUGACCGAUGUCAAUGGAAUUAAUUUGCAUCUUCAAUUAUAAAUUAUAAAUUUACUAUGAAAAAUAAAGGAUAAAAAAAUCUUUCUUUAAAUUAUUUAUUUUAUUUAUUGUAAAAAUAAAGAAUAAGAAAGCGUGAAAUUAUUUUAAUAUAAAAUGAGAGGAAAAGAAAUAAAAAUAAUUUUUUUAUCUCACGUUUUCUCGUGAUAAAUUUAUCCUAAAUAUAUUUCAUGUAAACUUGUAGUAGCUACAUUUUAAUGAAAAAUAAAAAUCUGACGAUGAAGCGCAGUCUAUUGGUAAGACGCUUCUCUUCCAACCAAUAGGUCGGGGUUUCGAGUCACCCUAGGAGCUAGAGUGUGAGUAAGUUUUUUUCUUUCUUUGAUUGUAACAAUUUGUUUUUUAAAAAUGAAAAAUAAAAAUCUGGUAUGACAUUUAAUGUGGGUUUAGCUGUAACACAUGAUUAGAUUCAGGGGCGGGCGGACACAAAAACCAAAAAAAGUUAAGUAAAGGAUUUAUUGUUAUUAUACCUUUUUAUUAUCAAUAUAUAUAUUUAUAUAUAUAUAUAUAGGGUAUAUAUAUCAUAAAAAAAAAAAGUAUAACUACAAUAGGGAUAAAAUUGGACAUAUCUAUACAUAGAAAAACAUGUUCAUUGUUGGUUUGUUUUCUCUUCCUCUCAUAUCUAUCUUUCAGCAGCUUCUCUCUCUCCAAUUUCAGCCUUCCUCAUCCUCUAACCUACGAUUCAAUCUUCAGUGACAUUAUUUAAUAAGGACAAAAAAGAUAAUUUCGGAAAAUUUUAAUAAAUUUGGCAAUAGAAAAAACAAAAUAAAAAAAGUUUGGUGGGGACUUAAACCCCUUGUUUCUUUGUUAAUGUGUCCCCCCAUGAUUAUAUAUUUUUAAUUAUAUACUCAUAUAUAAAUUCACCUGAGAUGGUUUUAGUCUCAACUUUAAUUAAUACAUUAUUAAUUUUUUUUAAUUAAUAUUAUUUAACUCUUGUAAAUUGAGUUGGUGACAAUUUUAAAUGUUAAAGACGUGGGAAAUUAAGAUUUUACGUCGUUAGAAAAUUGAAAUGACAUCUAUUUUUAAUUUUAUUUAUUAGAAAAAUCUAAUAAUAUAAGCAAGGCCUCAAAACAGGGAGUCGCCUAAAAUGGACCAGAAAAGGUAUUGGGUUUGGUUGUAUGAUUUAUUUUAACUGGGCCUUUUCUCAGAGCCCAACUUCGUUAUUAAUUUUACUGUAAUUACUAAUUUGGGAGAUGUCGACAGCGACAGAUGUCUUUUCCACGUGAAUCGCAGUAAUAAAAUAAAACAAAGAAAAACAUAGUAGUAAUUCUUUUUAUUUAGGAAAAAAGGAAGCAUAAAUUUGAAAUAGAAUAUUGGUAGCGGUAGGUAGGCGAGGAAAACAGGAAGAAAGCAUAUGCUCACCAAACUUGCAAGCGGAGACUGGAAGCCCCACUUCCAAAUUCCAACUACCUCACUCCUAUAUUCCCAUAUCAUUGAACUUUAUGAUCAACUACUCCUAUUUCCGCUAAAGAAGAGUUCAGAGAGAGAGAGAGUGUGGCAGAUUUUGCAUU